UACGGAGGGGACUAGCGUUGUUCGGAAUUACUGGGCGUAAAGAGUACGUAGGCUGUUUUGCAAGUUGGGUGUGAAAGCCCGGGGCUCAACCCCGGAAUAGCCUUUGAAACUGGAAAACUUGAAUCUUGGAGAGGUCAGUGGAAUUCCGAGUGUAGAGGUGAAAGUCGUAGAUAUUCGGAAGAACACCAGUGGCGAAGGCGACUGACUGGACAAGUAUUGACGCUGAGGUGCGAAAGCGUGGGGAGCAAACAGG
rnacentral:rRNA from 1 species